GCCCGUAUGGUGAAAUUGGUAAACACGCCGGAUUCAAAAUCCGGUGACUUCACGGUCUUCUCGGUUCAAGUCCGAGUACGGGUACCA
rnacentral:tRNA from 2 species